AGAACGAACGCUGGCGGCAUGCCUAACACAUGCGAGUCGAACGAGACCUUCGGGUCUAGUGGCGCACGGGUGCGUAACGCGUGGGGAUCUGCCCUUUGCUUCGGAAUAACAGUUAGAAAUGACUGCUAAUACCGGAUGAUGACUUCGGUCCAAAGAUUUAUCGGCAAAGGAUGAACCCGCGUAGGAUUAGCUAGUUGGUGGGGUAAAAGGCCUACCAAGGCGACGAUCCUUAGCUGGUCUGAGAGGAUGAUCAGCCACACUGGGACUGAGACACGGCCCAGACUCCUACGGGAGGCAGCAGUGGGGAAUAUUGGACAAUGGGCGAAAGCCUGAUCCAGCAAUGCCGCGUGAGUGAUGAAGGCCUUAGGGUUGUAAAGCUCUUUACCCGGGAUGAUAAUGACAGUACCGGGAGAAUAAGCUCCGGCUAACUCCGUG
rnacentral:rRNA from 1 species